rnacentral:sRNA from 14 species
UGUAUCUGAAGUCUGACGAGGAUGAGAACCUCCGGGGGCAAGAGGUUCGACCCGAGCGAAGCGAGAGAACGUUGCGCCAGCAACGGCCCGCAGGGCGAGCCACCCUCUAUCACCGGCAG